GAUGAACGCUGGCGGCGUGCCUAAUACAUGCAAGUCGAGCGAACAGACGAGGAGCUUGCUCCUCUGACGUUAGCGGCGGACGGGUGAGUAACACGUGGAUAACCUACCUAUAAGACUGGGAUAACUUCGGGAAACCGGAGCUAAUACCGGAUAACAUGUUGAACCGCAUGGUUCAACAGUGAAAGACGGUCUUGCUGUCACUUAUAGAUGGAUCCGCGCCGCAUUAGCUAGUUGGUAAGGUAACGGCUUACCAAGGCAACGAUGCGUAGACGACCUGAGAGGGUGAUCGGCCACACUGGAACUGAGACACGGUCCAGACUCCUACGGGAGGCAGCAGUAGGGAAUCUUCCGCAAUGGGCGAAAGCCUGACGCAGCAACGCCGCGUGAGUGAAGAAGGUCUUCGGAUCGUAAAACUCUGUUAUUAGGGAAGAACAAAUGUGUAAGUAACCAUGCACGUCUUGACGGUACCUAAUCAGAAAGCCACGGCUAACUACGUG
rnacentral:rRNA from 1 species